UUAGCUGUAAGUGCCCAUGCCAAUGUUGGAGCCACCGUACGGGGCACCCCCAGCAGCAUCGCGGGACUUGGAGUAGCUAACGUAGUAGAAUUCGCUGAGGAUGGCUGUGAAGAAGGUGAAGGCCGCACCAGCAGCAAAGACACCUUUGCGCACAGUCUCGCAGGAGACGGACUCGCCAACGAACAUCCCCCUGUACCGGGUGUGGUACGCAUUCCGGAUGGAUCCGGCCAUCAAGCAUGCCUCAGCAAUGAGGAAGUGAUGGUGAUUUACCAUGCGAAGAGGAAGAGGAUGAGGGCGCAGGCGCGGGAUCCGCCGGGCUUGAGGCC
rnacentral:sRNA from 1 species